rnacentral:misc_RNA from 1 species
UCCGGAUUAGCUCCGGCAGUCCCACUAGAGUUCCAAACUUAAUUAGGGCAACUAGUAGUAAGGGUUGCGCUCGUUGCGUCACUUAAGACAACAUCUCACGACACGAGCUGACGACAGCCAUGCAGCACCUGUGUCUAGGUUCCCGAAGGCACAACCUAAUCUCUUAGAUCUUCCUAGCAUGUCAAGAGCAGGUAAGGUUUUUCGCGUUGCAUCGAAUUAAUCCACAUCAUCCACCGCUUGUGCGGGUCCCCGUCAAUUCCUUUGAGUUUUAAUCUUGCGACCGUACUCCCCAGGCGGUCUACUUCUCGCGUUAGCUUCGCUACUAAAGGGUCUCCCCCCCAACAGCAAGUAGACAUCGUUUAGGGCGUGGACUAC